CAGACACGUCAGCUCAACCACUACACCACUCGUUCCCUUCCUCUCGAAGCGUCCGUUCCCCAGGAACAGUUGAGAAUAGAGUGAGCGAGUCUUGAUGGUGUCUGAGGUGCAAGUGGUGCUCGAUGGUGAUAUCUUUUGCGGGGGUUUCAACAUCAACGGGUACGUCAUCGGUUUUAUCUUCUGCGUCGGUGUUCGGUUCCACUGUGAUUUUCUUGGUAUCGUCGGUGCCCACGAUGCCAACGACAGUGCUGGACUUGUAAACUAGAAUAUGGUAAUGGAAAUGUGGAGAAGUUUUGGA